rnacentral:lncRNA from 1 species
UCCUUUGGUGUGUCAUUCUCUCUCCUUCGUGGCCGUUGCUGCUCCGUUUGAGCAUAGCCACUGGUGUCCAUGUCCGUGUAGCCACCGCCGCUCCUACUUGAUCGACUGAACUGCUCCAUCUCUCUCGGCUUGCUGGUAAUUUUUUUUUAUUUCAGGAAAUUUUUUUUAUUUCAGUAAUUGUUUGAAUAAUUUUCAGAGAUUUUUUUAAAGCAUGUUAAUUGUGUAUUCCCUCUAUUCAUGCCAAAAUAAUUUUGAGUAAUUGUUUUAGAUUAUGAGUAAUUGUGUUGAUUUGAAAGCAAAACCGUGUAAAUAUAGUUUUGGUACACUUUGAUUUUGUUUGUGGAAUGAAAAAAAAGGGAGCGAUGAACUGGAAUUGGGGGAUUUGUCUUAUGCUGCUGCUUUAAUUGUUGCUAUGCUGCUGCUUUGUGUGCUUGGUCAUUAUGAGUUUUAAUAUUUUCUCUCUCUGUCAUUGAAUCGAAAUGCAACCUGGAAAUUGUAAUUUCAGAUAAAUAUAUUUGGGGAAAAUGAUGAUUGCCGAAUAGCAUUGUAUUUGUGUUUUAAGGAUGAAGAAUACAUAUAUCUGUUUUUGUUUAUGCCAUGAAAUUCUUUAUGCCAUGAUUUUGAAUUGGUGAAGUUGUAUUGGAAUAUUUUUUAUUUUGGACUGUUCAAUUUUUAAUCUAUGACAUAUUGGUAAAAUGGCUUUCAUGCUAUGUUGAAUUUGAUUAAUUUCAAAAGUUUGAGCUAUGUAUGUUUAGAAGUAGUUUCUUUAAUUUCAUUAAUAUUUGAUAUAUGUUAUUUUUUCUAAUUUUCUAGUAACAAGAUAUGGAUCCACAUGAUGUUGAUGGUGAGGAUAGCAAGAUUUGGUUACCAACGAAGAAGGAGAUACUAGUAGGCCACUUACUAAUAUUGAUUUAUGUCCAGCGAGUGUCGCAGAGAUGAAUGCUAUAAGAGAUGGGAUUGCAGCUUCUAUGUGGCACGAUUACACACGUAAUGCAUAAUGUAUACCAUAUAAUUUUUUAUAAUUAUUUUGUUUAUAUCAUGUGUUGUAAUAUAUAUCUUAAUUAUAGUGUAAAAACAAUGACAAUGUAAAACUUUUUUUUAAUUAAUGGUAAUUAUAAAACUUUAUCAUCA